CUGAGUGCGGGCCCUCUGGGUCCAACCUCCCACCCGUGUCUAUUGUACCUUGUUGCUUCGGCGGGCCCGCCGUCAGGCCGCCGGGGGCAUCUGCCCCCGGGCCCGCGCCCGCCGAAGACCCAACAUGAACACUGUUCUGAAAGCUUGCAGUCUGAGUUGAUUAUCAUAAUCAGUUA
rnacentral:misc_RNA from 1 species